CAGGCACCCAAACUGUGCCUGGCCCUCGCCGGGCUCGGCAGGUGGGCGGGCGGGCAGCCCGCAGGGCCGGACCUAGCCUGGCCUGGCCUGGCCUCGGCUGUCGCCCGGCUCCCUGAGACUUCCCUCCAAAGAUGGCCUCUGCAACAGUCUGCCUACUGAUUUCACAGAGGAGCUCAUCUACCCAACAGUACUCUGACUUUGGACUUGUCUCCAGACAGCCUUAUACCAAGUUUUAGGGCAAGUACAAGAUGUUUUGGACGGCACACAAGAUGCUGUAAUGCAUAACAACAGAAUGAUAUGACUAAGACAAAAUUUGUCCUAGUCACAGGCAACAUGUAAAUUUUCUAAGUACUGGACUAUGGUGAUUUACUCCCUGUCUAUAAUUUUAUUGUACAUGUGCUAAUAUUUUGCAAGUGUCCAAAUUGUAUGGCUGACAGGGUGUUUUUAUCUAUUUCUUUAUAUAAAAAGAAUAUAUGAAACAUAUCAAUUCAGUAAGUCUGGUGUCCUCUAUUAUACAAGAAGUCAGGCUAAAAUUAUUUAAUUGUCUUUUUUGUAUGCAAGUAGGAUUAUAUGAAGCAUAUAGCUGGAGCUCCCUCAA